GAUCUCAUCCGAAAGCUGAUUCCAGCUACAGGUUCAUACUGUUGUAUUCUUUUAUACUGUUUCAUUCGUACUGUUUUAAAUCAUUCAGUGAAUGCAAAGUUAAACCGUCGUGUUUUUCAUCUAGAUUUAAAAGUGUCUACCGUUGAAACACAUCUGAUCUCUUCUGAAAGCUGAUUCCAGCUCCAGGUGGCAUAUUAACUGAAUGCUGAUGCACCUUGUAUUUCGAUUGCUUUGUAUGCUUGAAACAUGUGAAGAAUUGACAAUAAAUAAUCUUUAUCAAGUGUUAUACAUUAAAAAGUGGAUAAGUAACAAAAAUGUCACUCCUGACAGCUGAUAAAUUAAUGUUUUUUUAUAGCACCAUUGAGGCGAGCACUUUUCAAGGCAAGAUUCUUUAUAGAACCUUAUAAAAAGUUUCCAUAUAGUACCAAAAAACGGGUUCUGCUGUGGUUACAUGCUGAGGAACCCUUAUUUGGUACUUUUUAGGAGCAUUUGUCUUAAGAGUGUUGCAUAGGUUCGAAACUUUCAAACUUGAAACCAAAUAGAAGGGUCACACUGUUUUUUUUUGUGGAGUGGACAUGAACAAGCUGCAGGCAUUCAAAUGUUAUUUGUAAUUUAUUGUCUUAUUUCAUAUUUAAAAAAUAGCUAUACAACUGGUGUUCCUCAAUUUUAGGGCCUAUUUUGUUUAGUAUAUCAGUUUUGUUCAGUUUUUUAUGUGCAUGCAAAAAGCAAUCAGCAAGCAAAUUAACUGAAGCUUUACCUUCAUGUUCUUUUUGUGUAAGUGAUAACUGUUUCUGUAUGUAUUUUAUGUAUUUGUAUGUUUUUUACACGUAUAGAGUGAAAUGCACACGGUGAGGAAUGGACCCAGACCUUCAGUGCCAGACCUCUGACCCGUUAACCUCCAUCCCGACAGCCAGCGCCUUCUCCGGCUCCCAUUGCGGUAUCGCUUCUCGGCUUUUUGGACAAGAACAAGUGGACACCGGGGACUACAAGUUUAAAUGGAUUUUUGACCUUCGGAAAUGGAAGCGAGGCUUGCUCCGUCCACUCCGUUCAUCGACUCGGGCGCUUUCCGGGCACAAAUAAGUUUGCGGAGGUGAUACCAGGACGAAUUAAACAGCCUCGACACAGCUGAAGGCGCAAGAAAAUCGUACGAGACAGUUUGGGAUGUUAAAAACACCUGAAAACUUUUUUUUCCACUACCCUUCAUACUACAGCGGUCGAAAAACCACAGCAACGUCGACACGCCUGGAAGCAUAGCUGUAUUUGUUUAAGACAACGGGUAAAGUAUUUUCUUGAUUACCUAAAUGACUUGCAGUAAGAACAUAUUUUAAUUUAUAAUGAUAACUCUGUCAUCAUUUAUUCAUCCUCGUGUUGUUUUCAACCUGUAUGCAUUCGUAUUUUGGAGGUGACACGAUGACGACUUAAACAUCAUCGACACAGCUGAAAAAGCGAACGAGACAGAUUGGGAUGUUCAAAACACCUGAAAACUUUUUUUUCACUGUACUACAGCUGUCGAAGAACCACAGCAACGUCGGCAGAUCUGGAAGCAUAGCUGUAUUUGUUUAACUCACAACGACAACGGGUAAGUCAUUGAGCCCUUGUGUUUUUAUUUAUCCACGUUCUAAAAUUGCUAUGCUUUCGUUGUUUCUCGAUUGCUCUGUACAUUUCUUUGUUUCUAUUCCACGUAAAGUUACUUUGUAAUAACGAAACGAUAUAUUGAAAUGCGCUAUUUAAAUCCAUUUGAUUUAAAUUGUUUCACGUUUUUCUCUCUGCACGGUUUAACCGGGCUGGAAACGGAAAAUGGGUAGAUCUCGAAGAAUAUUUGGUUUCAGACCUGGCUUCGUGCGCCUUUCCACCUGGUCACACACAGUAAUGAAAUGGUAGUCGGACGGCCUUCGGGGGCGCCGUCGAUGUGAUCGGUCACAGGAAGAUGCGGCCGUCUGGCCUCAAAGGCUGUUGCUCAUACUUACCUGGCAGGGGAGAUACCAUGAUCAUGAAGGUGGUUCACCCAGGGCGAGGCUCAGCCAUUGCACUCCGGUUGUGCUGACCCUUUGCGAAUUCCCCAAAUGUGGGAAUCUCGACUGCAAAAUUUCUGAUAGUGGGGGACUGCGUUCGCGCUCUCCCCUGGC